UACGUAGGGACCAAGCGUUGUUCGGAUUUACUGGGCGUAAAGGGCGCGUAGGCGGCCUUCUAAGUCAGACGUGAAAUCCCCAGGCUUAACUUGGGAACUGCGUCUGAUACUGGGAGGCUUGAGUGCGGGAGAGGGAUGUGGAAUUCCAGGUGUAGCGGUGAAAUGCGUAGAUAUCAGGAGGAACACCAGUGGCGAAGGCGGCUUUCUGGACGGUAACUGACGCUGAGACGCGAAAGCGUGGGGAGCAAACAGG
rnacentral:rRNA from 1 species